ACAACAGUCACGAGAUCAAAGCGGACGCGCGCACAGGGAAGGUGGGCGUCACGCAAAAAUGCGAGCCAGGGACUGAGGUUACGACCUGCCGUUUGCGCCUAGGGCCGGUUCAGAGCCACCCGUGGUGCGAUAACAUCCUACCGAUGCCAUCUGGAAGAAUUCAGAAGGAUGGAGGACUCGCUAACUGAACUUCAUCUAUCUCUGGACAACUUGAUGUAAAAAUAGCCGCGACUGAAAUCGUCUGAGACGCUGAAAGAUCGCAUGUGCCGUGGGACAUAUUUAACCAAACCUGAGCCACGGCCUCCGACUUGAGGAAGCGGAACACCCCUGCCGCCCGGUCCUCCCACUUUAUCAGACCCGGGUUCCUGUCGGGGUGCAGCAGGAUGUCCCGGAUGAACUCCCACAGAUCACACCCCUGUCCCUCCUUCUUUCUCCUGCUCAGAUCACACCCCUGUCCCUCCUUCUGUCUCUGUCAGCAGAUCCCUGGGUCACAGGGCUUGUCCAAGGGGUCCCUCUGCAUGCUGGUGAGGUCACCAACUCCCAAACAAAGCGUCAGGACAGGGGCCGCUUGCUGGAGUCCGGGACCCUGAGAGAGUAGGAAGUGAAGUGUGUGUGCAGGCCCCAAUUUGGCAGUCGCAAGGGUGCAGUCAAACAGCUUGGGUGGUCGGUCACUAGCUGUGCCUCAGGCUUCAUCCUGGUCCAUUGGGGCCUGUAGGCCUCCCUGCUGGGGCCCUGCUGGGGGCCUACCGGGGGCCCUGAGAUGGGUCUUGGCCUGCGUGACCGUAUAUUCUGCUCUUUUCAUAAUGAAAUGAAAUGAAAUGGAAACUAGUCGCGGUGCUCGGGCAGUUCUGACACACUGCAUGCUAAUGACAUGUGAAUUCCGUGUUUGAGCGUGUGUAUGAGGCCUGCUUGCUGUGUUGUGUGUAUGAGGCCUGUGUGUAUGAGGCCUGCUUGCUGUGUUGUGUGUAUGAGGCCU